UCAAACUCCACGUUGGCUGGGAGUUCUCAGGAACCCGAUUCAGAACUGCAAAACCCACCCUAGAUUCUCCUACUCAAGCCAACUCUUCCACCCACCCCCGUUCCCAGAGCCUCGUGGUUAUGCAGUAUGAGGAAUAAGGCAGAACGGGAAGCGUGGCUGGUUCCGCAUUCACGCUGUGAACUCAAGGGAGUCGCAUUUUAUCAAGAGGCCCAGCGGACGUCAAGCUCCAGGAGGUGACGGGGGGCAGUUCCUUUCACCAGCAUGUCAUCUCCAGACUUCUUCAGCAUCCUUCUUGCCCUCAGAGGAGGCAUAUAGCCCAUGCUGACCCCCCUGGAGAGAGGCAUUCCAUCUGCUCCAGGGU